UUGUAUGUUAUUUGAAUAAAUAUGAUGCAAUUUACUCGUGGAAAGAAAAGUUUGUCCAAGUACAGUUGCCGUACUACAUCAUCGCCUGCAGAUCACCUCCGCUUAUUUAUUUACCACUCGCUUUUCGCUGAACAUUUUUUUUCUUGAAUCCAUUGCCGAUGUACACGUACACGUUGGAAUAUUCGAUGCGUUACGCUCAUCACUACUUUACUGGACAAAACAAUGUCCAUUAAAUAUUCGAUUUUGGUUAAAGUUAUCCCGUCUUGGUGUUCGUUGAAGUUUCUCGGCCUAGCGUUAUCUUAGUUUAGCUUAGUUUGCUAGCCGCUCACAAAGAGACGCGUUUGUGGUCAACACAUCGCCAAGCAGAGAUCAAGUGUGACCGUAAAGUGUUGUGAUGUGAACGUGUGUACAAGAAGGACAGCACAGUACGAGGAGGAACUUUGUGGAGCAAAACAGGACAACGAAAGACAACGUCAACUAUUGGACGCCGUUUGCAGGAUGAAGCCAAGAACUGUGCUUCACAGAGCAGACGUCAAUGAACACCUUUGUCCGGAGCAGCAGGAACCAGAGGCCACUCACAUGAGACGCGGCUCCUUCACAAUAAAAAAAGAGGAGCAUGAACAGCAUUCUCACAGCGAGGAGGAGGAAAAAGGGCACCCCGGCGUCAAAGAGAAAGAGGCAGACAUCACCAAGCUGUCAUCGACCGGUGUCUCUUUGAAGAGCGAAGACCAAGAUCAAAGUGAGAAAAGCAAUGUAGUGAAGCCUCCAAGCAGAAGCUCAAGUCAACGCUAUAAAUCUGAAGAUAUCAGUGAAGAUGUUGGUCCUGGGCGGCAGGAGCCACAGUCUCCCCACAUUAAGGAGGAAGUGGAGGAUGAAGAGCCACCACACAUUAAAGAAAAGGGGGAGCCUGACCCCCCUCUCAUUAAAAAGGAGAAGGAGCCCACUCGCAUCAAAGAGGAGGAGGAGCAAAAGCAUCAUAACACCAAGCAGGAUGAAGGAAAGCCUCCCUACAUCAAAGCGGAAGAGGAGGAGUAUAUCUGUAAGUUUCCAUCGACUGGUGGCCCUUUGAAGAGUAAAGAUGAAGGUCAAAGUGAAGCGAGCGGAGGGGCGGGGCCUCUAAGCAGCAGCAUCUCAAGUCAACACAUGAGAACAGAAGGUGAUGCAGGCCACUGUACAGGGUCACGGGUGGACGGCCACUCAGCUCCCCGAUCAGAUAGUGAUGGGACAACGUCACACUCUCAUACUGAUGCUGAACCGCCUGAAGGUGAUAUGACAAGUGAAACUGCCAAACGCUGGAAAUGUUCUCAGUGCCGGAAAACCUAUGUUUAUAAGAGCUGUUUGAAGAGUCAUAUGAUUAGCCACACUGGUGAGAAGCCUUUUUCCUGCUCAGAUUGUGGCCAAAGAUUUUCUCACAAGGUAACUUUAAAGAGUCACCAAAGAACACACGCCAAGGAGAACCCUUUUGUCUGCUCAAUUUGUGGUCAAAGAUUCUCUCUGAAGGGACAAUUGAUAGAACACACAAUAACACACAGUCGUGAGAAAACUUUUCCCUGCUCAGUUUGCAACAAAAGAUUCUCUGACAGGAAAACAGUAAAAAUACACACAAGAACCCACACUGGUGAGAAACCUUUUGCCUGCUCACUUUGUGGCCAAAGAUUCUCUCAGAAGGGAAGCUUAGGACGGCACGCAAGAACUCACACUGGUGAGAAACCGUUUUUCUGCUUACUUUGUGGCAAAACAUUCUAUCGGAAGCAAAGCUUAAAAAUUCACAAAAGAACCCACAAUGGUGGGAAACAAUUUGUCUGUUCAAUUUGUGGCCAAAUAUUCACUGUUAAAGGACACUUAAAAAUACACAGAAAAACACACACUGGUGAGAACCCUUAUGCCUGCUUGGUUUGUGGCCAAAGAUUUUCUAUAAAGAGUCACUUGACAGAACACACAAGAACACACUCGAGAGAGAAACCCUUUCCCUGCUCAGUUUGUGGCAAAAGUUUCUCUGAUAAUACACACUUAAGAACACACACGAAAACACACACUCGUGAGAAACCUUUUGUCUGCUCAGUUUGUGGCAAAAGACUCUCAAAUAAGGCAAGUUUAAAAAUUCACACAAGAACCCACACUGGUGAGAAACCAUUUGUCUGCUCGGUUUGUGGCCAAAGAUUCUCUGUUAAAGGACACUUGACAGAGCACACAAGAACACACACUAGGGAGAAACCUUUUGUCUGCUCAGUUUGUGACAAAGCAUUUGCCCGGAGGCAAAGCUUAAAACAUCACACAAGAACCCACACUGGUGAGAAACUUUUUAUCUGCUCAUUUUGUGGCAAAAGAUUCUCCCGAAAGGAAAGCUUAAAACGUCACACAAGAACCCACACUGGUGAGAAACCGUAUUUCUGCUCAAUUUGUCGACAAAAAUUCUCGAUCAAGGGACAAUUGACAGAACAUAUAGCCAAACACUCUGGUGAGAAACCUUUUGCCUGUUCAGUUUGUGGUCAGAGAUUCUCUCGUCAGACAGACUUAAAGACACACACCAGAAAGCACACUGGUGAGAAACCUUUUUCCUGCUCAGUUUGCGGCAAAAGAUUCUCUCGAAAAGGAACUCUGUUACGACACACAAGAACCCACACUGGUGAAAAACCCUUUGCCUGUUCAGUCUGUGGCCAAAAAUUCUCUUGGAAGUAUCAGGUGAAGAAUCACAAGUGUGUUGGCGAGACAAGCAGUAAUCAAUGAAGCUUUCUCCUCUGAUCUGAGCAGGCUUCAUCACUUCACACUCCAAAGAUGACUGAAUUCUAUUUACUUUCUUUGGGGUGAAAGCUGAAGUUUUGUUUUCCAUCACUGCAGUGGAAAGCUCAGAGGACUGCUGCUCCACUGGAGUAGUCACUGAAAUGGCUGGAGACAGCGGUGUGUGUACGACAUGAUUGACAGACCCCGUUGGCCAUACCUUAUGUCUGCUGCGCGGGUCUCUGAUUGGUUGGAUUUUAAUAAUUCAAAAUUAAAUUUGAGGCACAAGAUCGGGCCACAGACGGAUGACAUUUCGAAAGAUAUUUUGAAUAACACGCUACCAUCAGGUAAUAUGAUGUUUUAACUGAUGACAAACGUUUGAUUGUUUUUUCAAAGUAUCUACGAUAUCUAACUUCACUAUGAUCUACGUGGAGUUCUCUGUCUCAUGACACCGAGGCACUUGGAUGCUCUACCACCAGGCCAUUUACCUGAAUAUGUGUUGAUUCUGUUCAGCUGCACAAAAAAGCAGAAGGAAUCUCAGUAAGAAGAUGGCUGUGC